AACGAACGCUGGCGGCAGGCCUAACACAUGCAAGUCGAGCGAACCGCAAGGUUAGCGGCGGACGGGUUAGUAACGCGUGGGAACGUGCCCAAAGGUACGGAAUAGCCUCGGGAAACUGAGAGUAAUACCGUAUGUGCCCGAAAGGGGAAAGAUUUAUCGCCUUUGGAUCGGCCCGCGUUGGAUUAGGUAGUUGGUGGGGUAAUGGCCUACCAAGCCGACGAUCCAUAGCUGGUUUGAGAGGAUGAUCCGCAACACUGGGACUGAGACACGGCCCAGACUCCUACGGGAGGCAGCAGUGGGGAGUAUUGGACAAUGGGCGCAAGCCUGAUCCAGCCAUGCCGCGUGAGUGAUGAAGGCCCUAGGGUUGUAAAGCUCUUUCACCGGUGAAGAUAAUGACGGUAACCGGAGAAGAAGCCCCGGCUAACUUCGUGCCAGCCGCCGCCGUAACAC
rnacentral:rRNA from 1 species